rnacentral:rRNA from 1 species
CGGCAGGCCUAACACAUGCAAGUCGAACGGUAACAGGAAGAAGCUUGCUUCUUUGCUGACGAGUGGCGGACGGGUGAGUAAUGUCUGGGAAACUGCCUGAUGGAGGGGGAUAACUACUGGAAACGGUAGCUAAUACCGCAUAACGUCGCAAGACCAAAGAGGGGGACCUUCGGGCCUCUUGCCAUCGGAUGUGCCCAGAUGGGAUUAGCUAGUAGGUGGGGUGACGGCUCACCUAGGCGACGAUCCCUAGCUGGUCUGAGAGGAUGACCAGCCACACUGGAACUGAGACACGGUCCAGACUCCUACGGGAGGCAGCAGUGGGGAAUAUUGCACAAUGGGCGCAAGCCUGAUGCAGCCAUGCCGCGUGUAUGAAGAAGGCCUUCGGGUUGUAAAGUACUUUCAGCGGGGAGGAAGGGAGUAAAGUUAAUACCUUUGCUCAUUGACGUUACCCGCAGAAGAAGCACCGGCUAACUCCGUGCCAGCAGCCGCGGCAAUACGGAGGGUGCAAGCGUUAAUCGGAAUUACUGGGCGUAAAGCGCACGCAGGCGGUUUGUUAAGUCAGAUGUGAAAUCCCCGGGCUCAACCUGGGAACUGCAUCUGAUACUGGCAAGCUUGAGUCUCGUAGAGGGGGGUAGAAUUCCAGGUGUAGCGGUGAAAUGCGUAGAGAUCUGGAGGAAUACCGGUGGCGAAGGCGGCCCCCUGGACGAAGACUGACGCU